rnacentral:tRNA from 1 species
GGUGGCUCAGUAGUACAGCACUUGCCUUGUAUGCAUGAGGCCCUGGGUUCGAUUCCCCAGCACCA